rnacentral:rRNA from 1 species
UACGUAGGGGGCAAGCGUUGUCCGGAUUUAUUGGGCGUAAAGAGCGUGUAGGCGGCCAAGCAGGUCCGCUGUGAAAACUCGAGGCUCAACCUCGAGACGUCGGUGGAAACCGUUUGGCUAGAGUCCGGAAGAGGAGAGUGGAAUUCCCGGUGUAGCGGUGAAAUGCGCAGAUAUCGGGAAGAACACCAGUGGCGAAGGCGACUUCCUGGCCUGUUCUUGACGCUGAGGCGCGAAAGCUAGGGGAGCAAACGGG